GUGGGCCCGUGUCAUCAUGGACUUCUCCUUCCCCGCCUCAGGCGUCCCAUGACCGUGCGAUCGCCACGGGGGUGGUCACAACCGCCUUCCCGUCUUUCUCUCGAGCUCGACAUUCGGGACCCAGCUUGGUGGGGGCUACAUAAGGACACGCGCGCCUCUCCUCCCUCCGUUUGCAACUGCCCCUAGGAUCGCGCUGUAGAUCACCGCCGGCAUGAGUUGAAGGACCAAGAGAGAGAAAGGUAAAUCGCGGGCGCUGCCGUCACCUCGUCCGCGUCGUGCUUGAGUCGAAAGGUGGUCAAGGACAAUCCCUGUACUCGGCGAAGCCAUUCGUGGCCGAAGGGCGCAUCGCGAUCUCCGACGAUAGACUGUGCAUCACCGGGCUUUGCGUCUUGCGUCGGACUGCACGGCGACAUCGUCAACUUCGUCCUCGUCAUCUCCGCGGAGAAGAACGGGUGGCCCAGGAGGAGCCGCACAACAAGGAGUACGACUUGAUCUAGGUGACGUCUCCCAGUCGACUUUAUGGCGCCAAGGAUGGACUUUAGUUCAUUUUAUAUUUAUCUUUUAUUUUGUAAGACCUCCGCUAUGUAAUAAUUACUUUUAUGAUAUUGUGACAUUUAUCUCUAUACACUAUGUUAUUAUAUGUGUUGUUCUUCUUUAGCGCACA